ACGCACGCUGGCGGCAUGCCUAACACAUGCCAGUCGAACGAGACCUUCGGGUCUAGUGGCGCACGGGUGCGUCACGCGUGGGAAUCUGCCCUUCGGUUGGGAAUAACUGAGAGAAAUUUCAGCUAAUACCUUAUAAUGUCUUCGGACCAAAGAUUUAUCGCCGAGGGAUGAGCCCGCGUAGGAUUAGGUAGUUGGUGGGGUAAUGGCCUACCAAGCCGACGAUCCUUAGCUGGUCUGGGAGGAUGAUCAGCCACACUGGGACUGAGACACGGCCCAGACUCCUACGGGAGGCAGCAGUGGGGAAUAUUGGACAAUGGGCGAAAGCCUGAUCCAGCAAUGCCGCGUGAGUGAUGAAGGCCUUAGGGUUGUAAAGCUCUUUUACCCGGGAUGAGAAUGACAGUACCGGGAGAAUAAGCUCCGGCUAACUCCGUG
rnacentral:rRNA from 1 species